GCCAUUGCUAUUUGGCUCUUGUUAUUGUUAACAGUUGGGUUCACUUUUCACUUGUCAUCGAAAACACAUUUAUUCGCCACAGAAACAGAUAAGGAAUUUCUCGGUUUUGCUGAUGAAGAAUGACAUGACCAGGAACCAGGAGCUUCCAGCAUCGUAAAUUUUAACAGCACGCUGCGAUAAAAGGUGUAUCGUACCCCUACAGACUCAACAAAAGCUGAAUAUUGAAUAUCGCUGAAUCUCAUCUUCUGUUGAAGACGCAUCAUACCUGGUGAAGUUGAUUAUAUUGAUUCCGAAAUCUGCCUGUCGCCAGCUCUCUCCAAUUCCUGUCCUGUUGCUGAAGGGUUACUGAACGAGUUUUCGUUUCCACCAGUGAAGUUUUAGUUGUCGAUUGUCUCACAUCCUUGUCUCACCUCCCUCUGAAUCCCAAAGAGUUACUACUCCAAAGGUGAAAUAAUGGGUAUAAACUGAAUAAGACAGCCUUCGGUUUUGCUCCCGUGAUAGCGGUAUACUCAAGUAGAAAGAAUACAAACAAAAGAUGGUCCCAAUUGAUGUCGGAAAAUGGCGUUGGAUAGUUUUCAUUUUUUCAAUCCGAAGUUCCUAAGUUGUCGGACGACCUGUACUGCCAAGUCGACAAAACCAAGAGGACCACGGCAUCGGACCAAGGCGAAGAAGACCUCCGGAUCAUAUGCUAUUUUUAUUUUUUUAAAUGAAAAAAUGAAAAAAAAUUCGCAAACAUCCCUUUUUUAGCUGACAUGUUACUUGAACGCUUCUUUUUUCUAACGCUGGAUGACCAUGGCCUUUGGUAAUUUUAAGCUGUCCAGUGUCCACUAGACGGCGCGGGUGUCUUCGUUAAGAGACUGUAGAGUAGUGACGACGCGGUUGGAGAACAUCACGUUAGUUAUCACGGGGUAACUAACUAUAAAUUAUUUAUGUGAUGAAUUUACUGGUAAAUAGCAUACAUUUCUACAUGGCAGUUGCAUGUGGUCUGAAACUGCUAUAGAUUGUCCCAAAAUGUCGUCUCUGGAGGCUUCUACAUAUGCCAAGUAACGCGAAACAUUCGCGAGGUAAUUUCGAAUUCGCUGACUUUCUAAGGUAAACCCAAAAAAUCCCAAUAGGAAAACGAAAAAUACUGUCGCAGCCGAAAGAUGGAAGUGGAUUCGACAUCCCCACUCAAGAAUUCUAUGAUAAUACCGACUUCGAGUGCAUAUUAACCAAUUUAGAACUCGGUUUACCCAUAGAAGAACGUACUCGAACGAAAAACAGUCCCCGACGAGUUAUUGGAGUUGAGCAACUUAAAGGGAAAGGCAAUUAUGAGGACUCAUUAUCGGAAAGCGAAUUUGUUUCCAAAGAAGAAGUUGCCACGACCUCUGGAAGUUCGGCGAAAUCCAACCAAUCAGUCGAGCCUAAAACCUCCACUAGUGGAGUUGCUUCGUCCUCAUCUGGUAGAGGAACCAAAAGAACUCGGGCAACGGCUGUUGCUGUCACCCGGCAGAAAAUUAAAAUGCGACAAUAUCAGGAGGACGACGACUAUGAAGAUUCAAGCAACGCCGACGAUAUCGAUGAUGACAUUUUGGUUAUAGGUUUUUUUCAAAUGCAGUUAUGUUGCUGACCAAUUGGCUUGUUGCAGCCUAUACUGGUGAAAGAUAUUUUUGUGCAUCAGAUUAAUUUUUAUUUUUCAACAUUUUAAAUUCAUGGCCGGGUAAUCUCCCUGGUCGAGUCAGUCGGGCAGUGUCUUCACCUGCUUGACUGGCUGCAGUUUGAACCGGACGGUCUGUUUAAAUAAGAAUUUAAAUCUAGAACAACGCCUCCUUUGAGUGGCCCGGACAAUCCUUUAGGGUUUCCACUCCAUCGAGGCACUUAAACGAGGAUGACGCGGAGGUGUUGCCCAUUGAGGGGUUUUGGUGACAAGGAGUCACUGAACGAAACGCUAAACCAAAUGAAAAAUAUUAAAAAAGAUUAAAAAAGCAAAC
rnacentral:misc_RNA from 1 species